rnacentral:rRNA from 1 species
UACGUAGGGAGCAAGCGUUGUUCGGAUUCACUGGGUUUAAAGGGUGCGUAGGUGGGUUGGUAAGUCAGUGGUGAAAUCCCCGAGCUUAACUUGGGAACUGCCAUUGAUACUAUCAGUCUUGAAUACCGUGGAGGUCGGCGGAAUAUGUCAUGUAGCGGUGAAAUGCUUAGAUAUGACAUAGAACACCAAUUGCGAAGGCAGCUGACUACGCGAGUAUUGACACUGAGGCACGAAAGCGUGGGGAUCAAACAGG